UCGGAACGUGUCCUGUUGUGGGGGGAGUAACUGAUCGAAAGAUCAGCUAAUACCGCAUGAGACCUGAGGGUGAAAGCGGGGGAUCGCAAGACCUCGCGCGACAGGAGCGGCCGAUGUCUGAUUAGCUAGUUGGUGAGAUAAAAGCUUACCAAGGCGACGAUCAGUAGCUGGUCUGAGAGGAUGAUCAGCCACAUUGGGACUGAGACACGGCCCAGACUCCUACGGGAGGCAGC
rnacentral:rRNA from 1 species